UGCAGCAAGCCCCGGGAGCUUUGUAUGAAGAAGCUAUUCCUUUUCAAAUCCCUAACCCUUUCUCCUGAUUGCUCCUCCAAAUCUGUGGCCAGUGCAGCAAGUCCUGUGAAGACAGUAAGGAGGUAGCAGGAGGAGGCUAAAAAUGGUGACAUCAAGGAAUAGAAACUGGUGGCUUAAGAGAAGGCUUGGUAGAGUGAACUUUGGCUCGGUGGGAGAAUCCUAACAUGGCAUAGUUUCAAGCUUUAUCUCCCUUCCCAGAAAGAAAACGGUCCCAACAUCCUCACACUGUAAGGUGUAUACUCAAGAAAGUAAAAAGACUUAAAGAUGGUUGAGGGCAGAUUCAAGAUGGCCAAAUAGGAACAGCUCCAGUCUGCAGCUCCCAGCCAG
rnacentral:lncRNA from 1 species